GCUGCGAUGGCCGAGUGGUUAAGGCGUUGGACUUGAAAUCCAAUGGGGUCUCCCUGCGCAGUUUCGAACCCUUCUCGCAGCG
rnacentral:tRNA from 1 species